rnacentral:rRNA from 1 species
CACGUAGGGCGCAAGCGUUGUCCGGAAUUAUUGGGCGUAAAGAGCGUGUAGGCGGCCUUACAGGUCAGCUGUGAAAACUCGAGGCUCAACCUCGAGACGUCGGUUGAAACCGUAAGGCUAGAGUCCGGAAGAGGAGAGUGGAAUUCCCGGUGUAGCGGUGAAAUGCGCAGAUAUCAGGAGGAACACCGGUGGCGAAGGCGGGUCUCUGGGCAACAACUGACGCUGGAGGAGCGAAAGCGUGGGGAGCGAACAGG